UNUGAAGUUAAAGGCUGUGGCUUAACCAUAGUACGCUUUGGAAACUGUUUAACUUGAGUGCAGAAGGGGAGAGUGGAAUUCCAUGUGUAGCGGUGAAAUGCGUAGAUAUAUGGAGGAACACCGGUGGUGAAAGCGGCUCCNUGGUCUGUAACUGACGCUGAGGCUCGAAAGCGUGGGGAGCGAACAGGAUUAGAUACCCUGGUAGUCCACGCCGUAAACGAUGAGUGCUAGGUGUUAGGCCCUUUCCGGGGCUUAGUGCCGCAGCUAACGCAUUAAGCACUCCGCCUGGGGAGUACGACCGCAAGGUUGAAACCCAAAGGAAUUGACGGGGGCCCGCACAAGCGGUGGAGCAUGUGGUUUAAUUCGAAGCAACGCGAAGAACCUUACCAGGUCUUGACAUCCCGAUGCCCGCUCUAGAGAUAGAGUUUUACUUCGGUACAUCGGUGACAGGUGGUGCAUGGUUGUCGUCAGUUCGUGUCGUGAGAUGUUGGGUUAAGUCCCGCAACGAGCGCAACCCUUAUUGUUAGUUGCCAUCAUUCAGUUGGGCACUCUAGCGAGACUGCCGGUAAUUAACCGGAGGAAGGUGGGGAUGACGUCAAAUCAUCAUGCCCCUUAUGACCUGGGCUACACACGUGCUACAAUGGCUGGUACAACGAGUCGCAAGUCGGUGACGGCAAGCUAAUCUCUUAAAGCCAGUCUCAGUUCGGAUUGUAGGCUGCAACUCGCCUACAUGAAGUCGGAAUCGCUAGUAAUCGCGGAUCAGCACGCCGCGGUGAAUACGUUCCCGGGCCUUGUACACACCGCCCGUCACACCACGAGAGUUUGUAACACCCGAAGUCGGUGAGGUAACCUUUUAGG
rnacentral:rRNA from 1 species